UUGCUUCUUGUGAUGAGUUACAAGACUACAAACUUCGCUUCAUAAAAACCUACUGGAUACAAAAAAUCAUGGACUAAAUAUAGACAUUGGAUUUAUGGCAC